rnacentral:rRNA from 1 species
AGAGUCGAUCCUGGCUCAAGAUGAACGCUAGCGGGAGGCUAAUACAUGCAAGUCGAUAGGUAAGUUAGUUGCUAUGCAACUAACACGAGUGGCGCACGGGUGAGUAACGCGUACGCGACCUGCCCUCAAGAGGGAAAUAGCCCUGGGAAACCGGGAUUAAUGUCCCAUGUGAUUGUAUUUCUAAGGGAUAUAAUUAAAGGAGCGAUCCGCUUGAGGAUGGGCGUGCGUGCUAUUAGCUAGUUGGUGAGGUAAUGGCUCACCAAGGCGACGAUAGCUAGGGGGCGUGAGAGCUGUGACCCCCCACACGGGUACUGAGACACGGACCCGACUCCUACGGGAGGCAGCAGUAAGGAAUAUUGGACAAUGGGGGCAACCCUGAUCCAGCCAUCCCGCGUGCAGGAAGACGGUCCUAUGGGUUGUAAACUGCUUUUAUUAGGGAAGAAUAGCAUCAAUGAAUUGGUGUAUGACGGUACCUAGAGAAUAAGCACCGGCUAACUCCGUGCCAGCAGCCGCGGUAAUACGGAGGGUGCAAGCGUUAUCCGGAAUCACUGGGUUUAAAGGGUGCGUAGGUGGAAUAAUAAGUCAGGCGUGAAAGGUUACAGCUUAACUGUAGACUUGCGUUUGAUACUGUUAUUCUUGAAUUAAGAUGAGGUUGGCAGAAUGCGACAUGUAGCGGUGAAAUGCAUAGAUAUGUCGUAGAAUACCGAUUGCGAAGGCAGCCAACCGGACUUAAAUUGACACUGAGGCACGAAAGCGUGGGGAGCGAACCAGGAUUAGAUACCCUGGUAGUCCACGCCCUAAACGAUGUUCACUCGAUGUUGGG